GUGACAUCAUUUUGGAGGGAAAACAACAGCACAAACAAUUAAUAUCAUAGCAAUAACAACGAUUUUUCAGUUGAUGGCAGGCCUGCAUCAGUGCAGGAGGCUUUCUGGGAUGACAGCCAUGAGAUUCCCCCUCAGGUGCCAUUGGAGUCCUCAUGUGCCGGGAGUGUGAUGGUUGGGACAUGGCACCUCCUCGUGAAAGAAUGGCUCUCUGUUCGCCUCCCUUUCUCACUUCGUAAUGGUGCUUGCUAACAACCUAAUAUUUCAAGUGAAUGUGUGCACACACAGAGACUCAAACAGUAUGGACUCUCUUCUCUGACAGUCUACUUCUUUGUAUGUGGGUAUGAAAACACAUCCUAGGAUUUGAGUUGAAGAUCUUAUCUUAUUAGGAGGAUUCUGGUUAAUUUAAUGCACAUGAAUUAGUUUAAUGAACAAAUAUUGGUCUAUGAAUAGUAUUUGUGACAGAAAAGUUCAGCUAUGGUGAUGGACCUGGUCAUAUUGGGGUUUUAAAAAGCAAAAAUUGCAAAUGCACAGCUUGUGAUUUUAUUCAGAGUCUACUAUUUUAGCUAGCCAUUCUACAAGUCAAAAGACAAAAGUAUGUGUUUUUAUGCACUAACAUGUUUUAAAAAUGUUCAAGUAUCAUAUGUUAAACAGUGUGUAAUGGUCGGAUAUUACAAUUGCAUGCUAGGGCAUGCUAUCCGCCGCAGGAACUUGGACCAAUGAGGAUUCAUUAUGGGCGGAGCUACCCAGUGUGACAUCAUAGAAACAGAAGCCAAACAUCUGGAAGUGUUCGUGUCACAGGCCAUUUCACUAUGACAGGGAGUAUCGUACAGAGAAAAUGCAGCAUGUUUGAAAAUAUCCGAGACCUCAUCACAAUAUCAGAGAGAACAUGUGCAUACUCCGCCAAAAGCCUCCUGCAUUUUUGAUGACUCGACCUUCUGUCCUCUUCCGGAGAUGAAGUGUCUCAUAAGGAGAGGCGAGUAUUCGUUCUCGUUGUAUUUAUACAGGCCUUCCCGAUGAGAGAAUGUAUUGAGGCAGGAGAGGCGAUUGGACUCUGGCGUACAUUUCCCCUGCGUCUCCCUUCAGCAUGUCAUUCUUUAUCAGUAAUCACCUUAGAGGGCAGCGUGGCACUCGUUUGUGAGAUGCUGACCUCCCUUGCACUGAGAGGCAGUGGACAGUGGGCCCAUCCAUAACCCUGCAAUGCAUUACCGGUGGUAACAUGAAGUGUAGUCACCCCUUUUAGGCACUAGCGUUCAAGUGCAAGGCCUUGGGAAAAACACCUCUUGGGACACAUCAAAACUCAGACUGGUUCUAUGUGUCACUGGUAUUCAUUAACCCCCAGAAACUGUGAAAAAUGAAAGACGCUUAGCUAUGUACAUGUGAACUGUGCAUGCAGUGUGCAUGCAUCCAGGAACAGUAAAAUAGUCAUGUUUUAAACAAACAUGACUUUCAAUGCAGGUCCAAGCUUUUUGCAUAUUAAGUCCAGGUUCAGCAGGUCAACCAGUAUCUCCAAGCUAUUCAUCAGCAAAACGAUGUCUUUUCUACCUUUCUGGUCCUUGAAUAUAUCAGUUGCAUUGCUGUCUAUACAGGGUCAGAAAGCUCUCGGAUUUCAGAAUAAAAUAUCUUUAUUUGUGUUCCGAA